GUGCUCCCUUUGGCAGCACAUAUACUAAAACUGGAACAAAACAGAGAUUAGCAUGGCCCUGUACAAGGAUGAUAUGCAAAUUCAUGAAGCAUUUCGUAUUUUU